rnacentral:rRNA from 1 species
UAAGGAAUAUUGGUCAAUGGAGGCAACUCUGAUCCAGCAAUGCCGCGUGCAGGAUGAAGGCCUUCGGGUUGUAAACUGCUUUUGUACGGAGCGAAAAGGUCUGCCCUAAUACGGUGGGCUCAUGACGGUACCGUAAGAAUAAGCACCGGCUAACUACGUGCCAGCAGCCGCGGUAAUACGUAGGGUGCGAGCGUUAAUCGGAAUUACUGGGCGUAAGGCGUGCGCAGGCGGUUAUAUAAGACAGAUGUGAAAUCCCCGGGCUCAACCUGGGACCUGCAUUUGUGACUGUAUAGCUAGAGUACGGUAGAGGAGGAUGGAAUUCCGCGUGUAGCAGUGAAAUGCGUAGAUAUGCGGAGGAACACCGAUGGCGAAGGCAAUCCCCUGGACCUGUACUGACGCUCAUGAACGAAAGCGUGGGGAGCAAACA